CGUUGAUAUAAAAUGCCGGACAACGGAAUUAAUUCAUAUUCUAAACGUACUCUUCCAUUGCUACCAACGUCAAGCUCCUUGUCAGCUUCAAAAGUAUCAGUUGAUAUCAGAAAAUAAGCAUAGCGUUGAGGGAUAAGAUGAGGGCGGUACUGGUUGCUGUUGCUCUGUGCCUGAUCGUCUCAAAAUUGACGAGUGCAAGUAGGAGCCAAACAGAACCUGCAGCUGCUAAACAUCAAGAAAACUAUGACAAAAGUUUUGCGUAUAUGCUCGCCAAUAACAAACGCAGAACAACUGCUACAGGACGUGUUAAACGGCAUGGCUUCUGGGGAGGCAUUGGAGGUGGCCUGACAGAUUGGUAAGGUAGAGGGAAAAUAAAUCAGACGUGAGGGGAUUGAAGAUAUCGACGAAGAGAUGAAAUUAGACUGAGGAAAUGACAAUCUUCAUUUCAGCAAAAUACCAAUAGGAAAUAAAACAUAUCAAACAUGUUCGAUACAUUUGAUUGUAAAAUUAUAUAGAAAUAAAGUCUCAUUUGAUUCCGGAUUAUAUGUUAAUCAGAUUCAAACAGUGUAACUCAACUAUUCAAAGAAGUUUCGAGGAGUCUUACAAAACAUGUUUGAAUGUUCCACUUGUAACUAACAUUCCUGGAAGAUAAGGCAAAGCAUCAUUAUGGAAACAGAAAUGAUUGUUAUAUUAAGAGCUUAUGUGAUAACCUACACCAAAUUUUAAAACUUUGUACUAUGCCUAGAAAUGGUCGUUUCUUCAGAACAGAAAUGCAUCAACAAUCAUCAAGUUUGAUUAAUCCAUGCCAAUGAACAUUUCGCAUUCAAAAGUGCACGAUUGAAGUGCCAUCACAGUGGAUAUGAAUACUUAUUAAGAAUCAAAGUAGGAAACAUUUCAAAACAAAAUCAUUACAAUGUAACUUUUAAAACGUUGAUUCAUUCGAAAAUAUAUUUGUGUUUUAAGUAAUGCAACAUUUUGCCGUCCACCUCAUACAAUAAAAUUUAACAUACAUUUA